CUUGGGUGCAUCAAAUCAGGUCACAUGCAUCAGUUAUCAUUUUUUUUGUUAAUUUUAAAAACAUAUUUGAUUAUAAACAGCUUGCUGUUAUGAGCAAGAGACUUACACGAUGGGUGCCAUAUGUGGGGCAGGAUCCAGAGCACUCAAGAUAACCCCUAGUUUUUGGUUGGGUUUGUGUUUCUCUGUCUUUAGUUUUGUAUGUUGUGUUUUGUAUACAAUUGAUGUAUGUUGUUUUUUUUCUAUAUUGGCCAUGGCGUUUUCAGUUUAUUUUCAACUUAUGAGAUUGACAAUUUCUCUUGUAUCUACGCUUUUCUUUUAUGUUGAUAUUAUUGCUUUAUUCGAAUAGUCAUCCAGUCGCAUAAAUAAAAUAUCACAAUAAUAUCUAAAUUUACAGAUUUGUUUUUUUAUACUUGUAACUGAUGAUAAUGUAUCCCUUUGCUAGAGAA
rnacentral:lncRNA from 1 species